rnacentral:rRNA from 1 species
UGCAAGUUCGUAGCGGAAACGUAUGUAUAGCUCUGCUAUCAGGCGUCGAGCGGCGGACGGGUGAGUAAUACUUAGGAAUCUACCUAGUAGUGGGGGAUAGCACGGGGAAACUCGUAUUAAUACCGCAUACGACCUACGGGAGAAAGGGGGCAGUUUACUGCUCUCGCUAUUAGAUGAGCCUAAGUCGGAUUAGCUAGAUGGUGGGGUAAAGGCCUACCAUGGCGACGAUCUGUAGCUGGUCUGAGAGGAUGAUCAGCCACACCGGGACUGAGACACGGCCCGGACUCCUACGGGAGGCAGCAGUAGGGAAUAUUGGACAAUGGGGGAAACCCUGAUCCAGCCAUGCCGCGUGUGUGAAGAAGGCCUUUUGGUUGUAAAGCACUUUAAGCAGUGAAGAAGACUCCGUGGUUAAUACCCACGGACGAUGACAUUAGCUGCAGAAUAAGCACCGGCUAACUCUGUGCCAGCAGCCGCGGUAAUACAGAGGGUGCAAGCGUUAAUCGGAAUUACUGGGCGUAAAGGGAGCGUAGGUGGCUCGAUAAGUCAGAUGUGAAAUCCCCGGGCUCAACCUGGGAACUGCAUCUGAUACUGUUGAGCUAGAGUAUGUGAGAGGAAGGUAGAAUUCCAGGUGUAGCGGUGAAAUGCGUAGAGAUCUGGAGGAAUACCGAUGGCGAAGGCAGCCUUCUGGCAUAAUACUGACACUGAGGCUCGAAAGCGUGGGUAGCAAACAGGAUUAGAUACCCUGGUAGUCCACGCCGUAAACGAUGUCUACUAGUCGUUGGGUCCCUUGAGGACUUAGUGACGCAGCUAACGCAAUAAGUAGACCGCCUGGGGGAGUACGGCCGCAAGGUUAAAACUCAAAUGAAUUGACGGGGGCCGCACAAGCGGUGGAGCAUGUGGUUUAAUUCGAUGCAACGCGAAGAACCUUACCUGGUCUUGACAUAUCUAAAUCCUGCAAGAAUGCGGGAGUGCCUUCGGGAAUUAAAUACAGGUGCUGCAUGGCUGCGUCACUCUGUCCUGGAAGAUUUUGGGUUAAUCCCGCACGAGCGCAACCUUGUCUUAUUUCCACCGGGUUAACCGGGACUCUAGGAACUGC